rnacentral:rRNA from 1 species
AUUGAACGCUGGCGGCAGGCCUAACACAUGCAAGUCGAGCGAGCGGCGGACGGGUGAGUAAUGUAUGGGGACUGCCCGAUAGAGGGGGUUAACUACUGGAAACGCUAGCUAAUACCGCAUACUAUCGGAUUACCUAUGUUGUAUUAGCUAGUAGGUGAGGUAAUGGCUCACCUAGGCGACGAUCCCUAGCUGGUCUGAGAGGAUGAUCAGCCACACUGGGACUGAGACACGGCCCAGACUCUUACGGAGGCAGCAGUGGGGAAUAUUGGACAAUGGGCGAAAGCCUGAUGCAGCCAUGCCGCGUGUGUGAAGAAGGCCUUAGGGUUGUAAAGUACUUUAAGUCGAGAAGCGUUACCGACAGAAAAAGCAACGGCUAACUCCGUGCCAGCAGCCGCGGUAAUAC